CAGACCACCAGCUAAGGUCCCAAAAUAUAUGUUAAGUGGAAAAGGAUGUGGCGUUGCCCAGACAACUAGGAUGUUGGCUUAGAAGCAGCCAUCAUUUAAAGAGUGCGUAAUAGCUCACUAGUCGAGUGACACUGCGCCGAAAAUGUACCGGGGCUAAACAUAUUACCGAAGCUGUGGAUUGUCCUUUGGACAAUGGUAGGAGAGCGUUCUAAGGGCGUUGAAGCAUGAUCGUAAGGACAUGUGGAGCGCUUAGAAGUGAGAAUGCCGGUGUGAGUAGCGAAAGACGGGUGAGAAUCCCGUCCACCGAUUGACUAAGGUUUCCAGAGGAAGGCUCGUCCGCUCUGGGUUAGUCGGGUCCUAAGCUGAGGCCGACAGGCGUAGGCGAUGGAUAACAGGUUGAUAUUCCUGUACCACCUAUAAUCGUUUUAAUCGAUGGGGGGACGCAGUAGGAUAGGCGA
rnacentral:rRNA from 1 species